UACGAAGGGGGCUAGCGUUGCUCGGAAUUACUGGGCGUAAAGCGCACGUAGGCGGCUUCUUAAGUCGGUGGUGAAAUCCUGGAGCUCAACUCCAGAACUGCCUUCGAUACUGGGAAGCUCGAGUCCGGGAGAGGUGAGUGGAACUGCGAAGUGUAGAGGUGAAAUUCGUAGAUAUUCGCAAGAACACCAGUGGCGAAGGCGGCUCACUGGCCCGGUACUGACGCUGAGGUGCGAAAGCGUGGGGAGCAACAG
rnacentral:rRNA from 1 species